AAAUAGAGGCGCGGCUGACAAAAGUAGCCUGCGGUAGUUCAUCACCGGGCGAUGACCGCAUGUGAAAGGGAAAGCCGCCGAAACGACGGGCCGGGUGAUACGGUCAGGAGUUGGUUGCAGAAAGAAGAUUCCUGCAACUGUCACAGCAUUGCUGUGGAGCGCUAUUCGU
rnacentral:ncRNA from 1 species